CACGUAGGGGGCAAGCGUUGUCCGGAUUUAUUGGGCGUAAAGAGCUCGUAGGCGGCUCAGUAAGUCGGGUGUGAAACCUCCAGGCUCAACCUGGAGACGCCACCCGAUACUGCUGUGGCUUGAGUCCGGUAGGGGAGCGUGGAAUUCCUGGUGUAGCGGUGAAAUGCGCAGAUAUCGGGAGGAACACCAGUGGCGAAGGCGGCGAUCUGGGCUGAUACUGACGCUGAGGUGCGAAAGCGUGGGGAGCAAACAGG
rnacentral:rRNA from 1 species